rnacentral:rRNA from 1 species
CCUACGGGUGGCAGCAGUGAGGAAUAUUGGUCAAUGGGCGUAAGCCUGAACCAGCCAAGUCGCGUGAGGGAUGAAGGUUCUAUGGAUCGUAAACCCCUUUUAUAAGGGAGUAAAGUGUGGGACGUGUCCUGUUUUGUAUGUACCUUAUGAAUAAGGAUCGGCUAACUCCGUGCCAGCAGCCGAGGUAAUACGGAGGAUCCGAGCGUUAUGCGGAUUUAUUGGGUUUAAAGGGUGCGUAGGCGGCCGUUUAAGUCAGCGGUGAAAGUCUGUGGCUCAACCAGAGAAUUGCCGUUGAAACUGGGAAGCUUGAGUAUGUGUGAGGCAAGCGGAAUGCGUGGUGUAGCGGUGAAAUGCGUAGAGAUCACGCAGAACCCCAAUUGCGAAGGCAGCCUGCCAAGCCAUGACUGACGCUGAUGCACGAAAGCGUGGGGAUCAAACAGGAUUAGAUACCCGAGUAGUC